GCUUUAUUAAAGCUCAGUUGGUCAGAGUGUGGUACUCAUAACGCCAAGGUUGCAGGUUCGAUCCCCACAUGGGACA